UACAGAGGUCUCAAGCGUUGUUCGGAUUCAUUGGGCGUAAAGGGCGUGUAGGUGGUUUUGUAAGUCUGGCGUGAAAUUUCUCGGCUUAACCGAGGCAGGUCGUCGGAUACUAUAAGACUAGAGGACGGUAGAGGCGUGUGGAAUUCCGGGUGUAGUGGUGAAAUGCGUAGAGAUCCGGAGGAACACCAGUGGCGAAGGCGACACGCUGGGCCGUACCUGACACUGAUGCGCGACAGCAUGGGGAGCAAACAGG
rnacentral:rRNA from 1 species